rnacentral:tRNA from 1 species
AAGGCUUUAAGUUAAAUAAACUAAUAGUCUUCAAAACUUUAAAUAUAAGUUAAAUCUUUUAAGCCUUA